UAUUAACACUAAUUAUAUUCAUAUUCGGCUAAUGAGACUGAUUAUUAUUUGAAAGUCACUUUUUUGACACAAUAGACACAUUUAAGAGUAGACUAAGCGAAUGUCACUGUUGAAUGUCACCAAGAUCUACAACAGCAAUAAAUAAAAGCAUCAGUUAAACGUUGGAAAGUUAGAUCACAUAAAUCCAACGCGGAAUGCGAGUGCCAUGAUGGAAGCAAUUGAAGUUGUUUCAGAUGCAAUGAAAGUUGGGUUUUUAUUAUACUUGGCUGCUUGUUGCUCUCAGCCUAGUAUUGCUUACGCAUCGCAUCUAAAGCAGAAUCAUUAGACCGAAUUUUAUGUUCUUGUAAUGGGCACCCGGUUGAAUAGAAAGAAGCUGCAACCGCGCCCGUUACCCACUUAUUAUUUGUUAUUAGUUACGCUGCUGUGGUAUCGAGAGACUCAAAUGAUUCAAUGCCCUCGUCUUCUCGUUCUAAUGAUGGCGGCCAUAAAUAUAAAGGAAAUUACAUCACGUAUCGUUUACCGACAAAGUUGACAACCGCAAAACAAUAAGAAAAUAAACUUCCAAUGGAAUUAAACUAAUCGCUGGUAGACAAACACUGUGCCUAGUUUUUUUUAAUAUGGUAUGGAAAUUGUUACAAGUACACUUUGAGUUUAACAAAUGCAUGUAAGCACAAGACGUCCAUACUUUACUAUCCAAAUAUAAAUAAGUAAAUUGC